UGGGGAAUAUUGCACAAUGGGGGGAACCCUGAUGCAGCAACGCCGCGUGAGUGAAGAAGUAUUUCGGUAUGUAAAGCUCUAUCAGCAGGGAAGAAAAAAGACGGUACCUGACUAAGAAGCCCCGGCUAACUACGUGCCAGCAGCCGCGGUAAUACGUAGGGGGCAAGCGUUAUCCGGAUUUACUGGGUGUAAAGGGAGCGCAGGCGGUGCGGCAAGUCAGAUGUGAAAACCCAGGGCUUAACCUUGGGACUGCAUUUGAAACUGUCGAACUAGAGUGUCGGAGAGGUAAGCGGAAUUCCUAGUGUAGCGGUGAAAUGCGUAGAUAUUAGGAAGAACACCGGUGGCGAAGGCGGCUUACUGGACGAUAACUGACGCUGAGGCUCGAAAGCGUGGGGAGCAAACAGG
rnacentral:rRNA from 1 species